CCCCCGAUUUGGGGCUCAAGUCAGCGAGGCCUCGGGACUGUUAAUCCGUAGGUCCCUGGUUCGAGCCCAGGUCGGGGAGCCA
rnacentral:tRNA from 1 species